rnacentral:tRNA from 1 species
GGGGGUGUAGCUCAGGGAUAAAGCACAUGCUUAGCAUGCACGAGGUCCUGGGUUCAAUUCCCAGUACCUCCA